rnacentral:rRNA from 1 species
UACGGGGGGGCGAGCGGUUGUCCGGAAUUACUGGGCGUAAAGAGCUCGUAGGUGGUUUGUCGCGUUGUUCGUGAAAUCUCACGGCUUAACUGUGAGCGUGCGGGCGAUACGGGCAGACUAGAGUGCGGUAGGGGAGACUGGAAUUCCUGGUGUAGCGGUGAAAUGCGCAGAUAUCAGGAGGAACACCGGUGGCGAAGGCGGGUCUCUGGACCGUAACUGACGCUGAGGAGCGAAAGCGUGGGGAGCGAACAGG